rnacentral:rRNA from 1 species
UACAUGGGGUGCAAACGUUGCUCGGAAUUAUUGGGCGUAAAGCGUGCGCAGGCGGUUAUGCAAGACAGAUGUGAAAUCCCCGGGCUCAACCUGGGAACUGCAUUUGUGACUGCAUGGCUAGAGUGCGGCAGAGGGGGAUGGAAUUCCGCGUGUAGCAGUGAAAUGCGUAGAUAUGCGGAGGAACACCGAUGGCGAAGGCAAUCCCCUGGGCCUGAACUGACGCUCAUGCACGAAAGCGUGGGGAGCAAACAGG